UGCACACAUCAUCUUUUACUUGCUGGGCAUGGAUGUCAGCACUACGCGAAGAAGAAGUAUAACUUUAAUCAGUGUGCUUUCUUAUAAAUAUUCGUGAGAGACUCUGCACCUGAAGCACUCCCAAUCCCCCCCAGGAACAUCUGAAUCUAGUUCAAAGCCCCCCUUCCUGAAGAGGGCCCACCACUGUAACACCUUGCUGAAAUGCAAUUACUCCAUAGGCCACAGAGGAUAGAGUCUAGGUGGUUUUGCAGUUGUCUUGCAAAGCAACUGCUUAGAUUAUUUUAAUCACCAGACACAAAUAUAUCACAUGAUCUUUAAAAAAAAUGGAUGGAUGGUGCACUCUUUGCUUCCUUUACUGAUCAUCUCAAAAACCUACUGAUGGGCUCAAAAGUGUUCUCAGCAUCUCAAGGAUGAUGGCAGCAAAGAUAAUUAUAUUUAUCAGUUUCCUAUUAUGGAAUUACUGCUCCCGAAGGAAAUGUCAACUAAUAUGAAUAUGCAAACAUCGCACCCACCUACACAUAUGCUGUUGCUCAGUUAUUCUUGGCAGUGCCAGCGCUGUCAAUCUCAAGUCUUCAAAAGUUCUCAACAUCUUGUUGCGGGCUGCCCCCGGUUCGCACCGGUUCUAUAGAACCGGUAGGAAAACUGGCGGGAGGCCCCGCCCACCGACCCCGACAUCACCAAAAUGCAUCUGCACAUGCUCAGAAGAGCACAUGUGAGCAAAGCAAGCAUGCGCGCACG